CGACAUAUUUGCUUCGUCUUCUUCGAAAUCACCUAAGCUUCACCGCCGUUACCAUUACCUUCUACUAUCAUCUUCAACGUAUGACUCACACAUCUAAGUCUCACAAAGCUUCAUCAAUCACUUCUAUAUCCUCCAUAUGACAACAUUGAUCCACAGCCAUGAUAUCCGCUCAUGCUUCCGGGAAGUCUCAAGUUGCCCUCAUCGAUGUGCUCUCGCUCCACUUUCAUGUUUCCUUCCAUCUGUCUCCACUGUAAUCUCCUUGACCAGUUUUCUUUUUUUUCCGUGAUGCAAGGCUUCAUCUCAGCUAAUCGUGCUCCACGAUACGAGCCCCAACUCAAACCAGGAGCUUCAGAAUUUCUUCGCAACCACAAUCGACUAGAUGAACUGAUGAGGGAUUGUGGCUGCAAAAGUUUCCUGCUUCGGAUUCCACGGAUUGGAUACCAAUUACUUGCCUUCGCUUCUAGACCAGUUCCCUCCUUCCAAUCAUUCUCUCUACCCUCCCCCUCCGCCUCAGCUUCCCACUGUAAGUUACGAUCAAAUCCUUUCUGAUUACUCCGUCGUGAUUCCCGAUUUCGAUUAGGUUUAGGUUUGGAGACUUCGAAAUGGAUCAGAUUUUUCUAUGAGAGUUUGAUGAUUUUCAGUGUGGCGUUCCAUUCGUCUGGGUUUGUUUCCAGCGACCCUGUGAGUUUCCCACGGAGCUACCCCAUUGUCUUGACGGUUAUGUGAUUAUUGCAUUCUUUAAUGGAGAAGUCGUUAUGCAUGUUCAAUUUAAGUUGUUUGAUUUGUCUACACUUGCUUUAUCUGUUUGUGGUUAUCUUCAAUCCAUAGAGGGUGAUGGAGCGAAAAUAUUUGUCAGUUGCAUUGCGUUUCGGGACAGAGUCUGCGAUGAUGUUACUGAACCUUAUCGUUUACCACCCAAUACAUACGCAUACAAGUGUAUUUGUAUCAUCUCUCAUGCCCCCAAUUUCCCAGCUCUUCGGGAUUCUCUCGAGGAGAUUUUUGUUCUUUGCUUCUCCUCAGAAAGAAGCUGGUAAAAACACCCAGUGCUUAAAAAUAUGAAAGCAACCCCCAUUCUUCUGUUUCGAAAUUGAUGUUAGUCGCCUCUUCAAUUUUUUUAGUAAGCCAUUUUGGGAUAUUAUCGCUAUGUUUUCAGUCUCUCUUUUUGCUCUGUAUUUGGUAAGAUGCCAAAGGAAUCUUCAGUGACACUCUUGAUCAUAUUUGUUUUGCUUAUUGUUGCAAGUUGGAUUGUAACUUAUAGAUUGCUAAGCUGGUGAAUGAGGGGGAGGUAACUAAGGCUGAGACAAUGACUAUUGGUGAAAUCUUCGAUUACAUCAAAAAAGGAUCCGCCAAGGUAGAACUUGAGCUGUAGAUAUGCCACUCAAAUCAACAUGCCUAAAUACGUAUAUCACCCGGUCGUUGACGAACGCUGGAGCCGUUUUUUUUUGUCUAUAACUGUUACAAAAGUUGUCUCUUUCUACCCACCUCUGACAGUUCCACAGGUGAAACCACAUUUGCUGCAACUGCUGAAUUGCCCCUGCUCUCUGCAAAUUUUUUGUCUCCAUCUUCCAAAGGAUGUGGAGACCUUGCUGAUGAGGGAAUGGUGGCUUAAAUAACAGUGGCGAAGCACAGGAAGCCAAAUGUGCUACUCAUGGCAAAUAGGUCUUUCCAGUUCUUAAGUUUUGUUCUGUUAUUGCUCUCUCGCACCCUUUGACCUAACAAAGAAGAAGAUGAUGAAUGUCAUUCUGGAUCCUAUCGAGGACUCAACAGGAUCACAAGCGGAGGAAACUUAUUCAUUGCUUGCUUUUGAUGGCAUUCAGAGUUCAUUUGCUGGACAUAAAUCAGCGAGUCUUCUAACGUCUUGCUUCUUCUAAACUUUUUUUUUUUUGAAACUGCUGUUCUGAUGAUUAUGUGUCUCACAUUGUUUUUUUCCAAUCGGUGGGUUUAAUCAACCUGACAUUUAUCGGUGAUGAAUCAUGGCCUCACUUGCAACAAUAUUAGAACAUCAUUAAAAAUGUGAAAAUGGAGUUUGCUUUCAA